CCCUUAGAUGUUCUGGGCCGCACGCGCGCUACACUGACGGAGCCAACGAGUCUUUUCCUUGUCCGGAAGGACUGGGUAAUCUUGUGAAACUUCGUCGUGCUGGGGAUAGAUCCUUGCAAUUUUUGAUCUUAAACGAGGAAUGCCUAGUAAGCGCAAGUCAUCAACUUGCGUUGAUUACGUCCCUGCCCUUUGUACACACCGCCCGUCGCUACUACCGAUUGAAUGGUUUAGUGAGGCCUUCGGAUCCGCGACUCGUUUGUGGAGAAGUUGGACAAACUCAGUCAUUUAGAGGAAGUAAAAGUCGUAACA
rnacentral:rRNA from 1 species